rnacentral:rRNA from 1 species
AUUGAACGCUGGCGGCAGGCCUAACACAUGCAAGUCGAGCGAGCGGCGGACGGGUGAGUAAUGUAUGGGGACUGCCCGAUAGAGGGGGAUAACUACUGGAAACGGUAGCUAAUACCGCAUACUAUCGGAUAACCCAUAUGGGUUUCGCUAGUAGGUGAGGUAAUGGCUCACCUAGGCGACGAUCCCUAGCUGGUCUGAGAGGAUGAGCAGCCACACUGGGACUGAGACACGGCGCAGACUCCUACGGAGGCAGCAGUGGGGAAUAUUGCACAAGGGGCGCAAGCCUGAUGCAGACAUGCCGCGUGUAUGAAGAAGGCCCUAGGGUGGUAAAGUACUUUCAGUCGGGAGGGGGUAAAGAGAGAAGAAGCACCGGCUAACUCCGUGCCAGCAGCCGCGGUAAUAG